UGGCUCAGUGGUUAAGAGCUUGGACUGCUCUUCCAAAGGUCCUGAGUUCAAAUCCCAG
rnacentral:tRNA from 1 species